AAAAAGACGAGUGAGUUUCUCUCCACAAUGCAGUUGCAUAUUUAUCGAGACCGUUUGAGUCUUGAGACAUCGUACCUGAAGAUGUAGAGGGAAUAUCACAGCACAUUCCUGGAAGUCAUAAAACUAGCAAACAAACAGAUCAAAUAACCAAGGUAUAACUUUCUAUUGCUAUAUAAUUUCCACUACCACAUCUACGGAAAACAUCAAUCUUCUGCAUCGAUAGAUUAUGGAGGUGGACUUACCUGCUCUAUUGGACAGUCAACUUAGAGAAGGGAUAUAACAACAUCAAGCAGCACAUCAUCAGAACAUUAACUCAACAAUCAUCAGAUCUGCAGAACGAAUCACAGCAGCAAUCAAUAUCAUAGCAACAUACAAUGGCAUUUAACGAUAAAUAAAGAACAAAAGAAACGAUCAAGGCAACGGUAGUUCAACAAA
rnacentral:lncRNA from 1 species